UUGAGGUCAAGCUACUAAGGCGCGCGGUGGAUGCCUAGGCAUCAGGAGCCGAAGAAGGACGUGGUAAGGCUGCGAUAAGCUCCGCUCAGCUGCCAAACAAGCUCAGGCGGAGAUUUCCGAAUGGGGAAACCCGGCCCGGGAUUACCGGGUCACUCCAGGUUGAACACAUAGACCUGGCAGAGGGAACUGGGGGAACUGAAACAUCUAAGUACCCCGAGGAAAAGAGAUUAUUCCCUAAGUAGCGGCGAGCGAACGGGGAAAAGCCCAAACCGGUUGGGUUCGCCCAGCCGGGGUUGUAGGACCUGCUGGCUUUCGGGCACGGAGUUACCAAUCGCAAGCGAAGACGAACGGCACUGGAACGGCCGGCCAGAGAGGGUGAGAGCCCCGUAGGCGAAUGGCUUGCGACUCCGAGCAGGCACCUGAGUACCACGGGACACGUGAAACCCUGUGGGAAUCUGGGGAGACCACUUCCCAAGGCUAAAUACUCCUGGUGACCGAUAGUGGACAAGUACCGUGAGGGAAAGGUGAAAAGUACCCCGGGAGGGGAGUGAAAGAGAUCCUGAAACCGUGUGCUUACGUGCAGUCGGAGCCCGUUACGACGGGUGACGGCGUGCCUAUUGAAGAAUGAGCCGGUGAGUUACGCUACGUCGCAAGGUUAAGUGACGGAGUCAUGGAGCCGUAGCGAAAGCGAGUCCGAACAGGGCGAUUGAGUGGCGUGGAGUAGACGCGAAACCUGGUGAUCUACCCAUGGGCAGCGUGAAGUCCGGGUAAAACCGGAUGGAGGCGCGAACCUUCUUGUGUUGCAAAACGAUUGGAUGACUUGUGGGUAGCGGUGAAAUGCCAAACGAACCAGGAGAUAGCUCGUUCUCCCCGAAAUGCAUUUAGGUGCAGCCUCGGAAGUAUCUCCGGCGGAGGUAGAGCUCUGGAUGGGCUAGGGGGCUUACCGCCUACCAAACCCAACCAAACUGCGAAUGCCGCCGGACAAAAUCCGGGAGUGAGACAGUGGGGGAUAAGCUUCAUUGUCGAAAGGGAAACAGCCCAGACCACCAGCUAAGGUCCCAAAGUUCACGCUCAGUGUACAAGGAUGUUGAAUUGCAAAAACAGCCAGGAGGUUGGCUUAGAAGCAGCCACCCUUUAAAGAGUGCGUAACAGCUCACUGGUCGAGUGAUUCUGCGCCGAGAAUUCAACGGGGCUAAGCGUGACACCGAAGCUGUGGGUCAUCCGCGUUUAGCGGAUGGCGGUAGGGGAGCGUUCGUUUCAGCCGAGAAGGGGUAGCUGCGAGGCGCCCUGGAGCGGAGCGAAGUGAGAAUGCCGGCAUGAGUAGCGUAAGGUGCGUGAGAACCGCACCCGCCGUAAACCUAAGGUUUCCUACGGAAGGUCAGUCCGCGUAGGGUUAGUCGGGCCUAAGCCGAGGCCGAGAGGCGUAGGCGAUGGACAGCUGGUUAGUAUUCCAGCACCACGAUGGUCGCGUUUUAACGCAGAGGGGGGACCCGGAAGGGUAGAUCCCGCGGACCUAAUGGAUAUGGUCCGUUCCUGGGCCGUAGGCGUCCGGAGGCAGGUAAAUCCACCUCCGGGAUAAGCUGAGGACUCGGGAGAAGUAGAGACUUUUGUCAAAGCGACGGGGUUGAGCCCAGGCCGGCGAGAAAAGCCUCGCUGCCAGUCACCAACGUGCCCGUACCGCAAACCGACACUGGUAGGUGGCGGUAAGUACCGUGAGGCGAACGGGAGAACCUUCGUUAAGGAACUCGGCAAAUUGGAUCCGUAACUUCGGGAGAAGGAUCGCCCUCGGCUGUGAACCGGCAUGCCCGGUGAGCGGUAGAGGGCCGCAGUGAGCAGGCCCAGGCGACUGUUUACCAAAACCACAGGUCUCUGCAAAAGCGAAAGCUGACGUAUAGGGGCUGACGCCUGCCCAGUGCCGGAAGGUUAAGGGGAGAGGUGAGAGCUUCGAACCGAAGCCCCGGUGAACGGCGGCCGUAACUAUAACGGUCCUAAGGUAGCGAAAUUCCUUGUCGGGUAAGUUCCGACCCGCACGAAAGGCGUAACGAUCUGGGCACUGUCUCGACGAAGGACCCGGCGAAAUUGAAUUGGCCGUGAAGAUGCGGCCGACCCGCGGCAGGACAAAAAGACCCCGUGGAGCUUUACUGCAGCUUGGCACUGGGAGUGGGCCUUAGAUGCGUAGGAUAGGUGGGAGGCUAGGAAGCCGUGUUUGCGGACAUGGUGGAGCCAACCUUGAAAUACCACCCUUCUGUGGUUUGCUUUCUAACUCCUGAUCAAGCAGGAGGACAGUGUCUGGUGGGCAGUUUGACUGGGGCGGUCGCCUCCUAAAAUGUAACGGAGGCGCACAAAGGUUCCCUCAGGGUGGAUGGAAAUCACCUGUCGAGUGUAUUGGCACAAGGGAGCUUGACUGCGAGACCUACAAGUCGAGCAGGGGCGAAAGCCGGUCAAAGUGAUCCUACGGUACCGAGUGGAAGGGCCGUGGCUUAACGGAUAUAAGUUACCCCGGGGAUAACAGGCUUAUCUUGCCCAAGCGUCCAUAGCGACGGCAAGGUUUGGCACCUCGAUGUCGGCUCGUCGCAUCCUGGGGCUGGAGUAGGUCCCAAGGGUUGGGCUGUUCGCCCAUUAAAGCGGUACGCGAGCUGGGUUCAGAACGUCGUGAGACAGUUCGGUCUCUAUCCGCCGUGGGCGCAGGAAGUUUGAGAGGCGUUGCCCCUAGUACGAGAGGACCGGGGUGAACGAACCGCUGGUGUGCGGGUUGUUCCGCCAGGAGCAUUGCCCGGUAGCCAUGUUCGGAUCGGAUAAGCGCUGAAAGCAUCUAAGUGCGAAGCCGACCUCGAGAUGAGACUUCCCAUCCCUUUAUGGGAGUAAGACCACAGGAAGACUACCUGUUUGAUAGGCGCCAGGUGUAAGCGCGGUAACGCGUUCAGCUAAGGCGUACUAAUGGUCGAGGGCUUGACCUCAA
rnacentral:rRNA from 1 species